AACGAACGCUGGCGGCAUGCCUAACACAUGCAAGUCGAACGAGACCUUCGGGUCUAGUGGCGCACGGGUGCGUAACGCGUGGGAACCUGCCCUUAGGUUCGGAAUAACUCCCCGAAAGGGGUGCUAAUACCGGAUAAUGUCUUCGGACCAAAGAUUUAUCGCCUUUGGAUGGGCCCGCGUUGGAUUAGCUAGUUGGUAGGGUAAAAGCCUACCAAGGCGACGAUCCAUAGCUGGUCUGAGAGGAUGAUCAGCCACACUGGGACUGAGACACGGCCCAGACUCCUACGGGAAGCAGCAGUGGGGAAUAUUGGACAAUGGGCGAAAGCCUGAUCCAGCAAUGCCGCGUGAGUGAUGAAGGCCUUAGGGUUGUAAAGCUCUUUUACCCGGGAUGAUAAUGACAGUACCGGGAGAAUAAGCUCCGGCUGACUCCGUG
rnacentral:rRNA from 1 species